rnacentral:lncRNA from 1 species
CAAAGGUGCUGCACACAGGGCCAUGCCCAACCAGCAGGCUCUCAGAGGACUCUUGAGGUGGAAAUGAAAACAGGUUAAAGACUUGGGCUACCACCUUGGAUCCUCCCUCUCAUCUCUCAGUCUGAGGAAAGCAGGCUGCCAUCUUGUAAGCCACCCAGUGGAGAGGCCUGUGUGGUAAGGGGCUGAAGCCUCCUGCCCUAGCGAGUUGAGAACCAAUACCUAUGAACAACUACGACAGUGAAUUUGGAAGUAAAGUCCAGUGUCAAAUGAUCCUUGAGAUGACAGCCCCUGGCCGACAGCUUAAAUGCAAUCUCAUGAGAGUCCCUGAGUCAGGACCAACCAGCUAAGCCAUUUCUGGGUUCCUGAUCCUCAGAAAAUGUGAAAUAAUAAAUAUUUGGGGGUUUUGGUGUUUAAAAAAAUGCUAUGUGUUUGUGUUUAAAGGAUGAAUAAAUUACAUGUAAAUUUGCAAGUCUAA